rnacentral:pre_miRNA from 1 species
AUGUAUUGUUAUGCGAAGGAUACUAUAUACUUGUCGACACUGGCGUACUAAAUAUAUUGCACAUGUUCAUACAUUUUCAUACAUGUAAAACAUAUUUAGAACUCAAGUACCGAAAAAUGAACAUCGAAACGGGAGAACACGAACAUCAUGCUAC